rnacentral:tRNA from 1 species
GCCCCUGUAGUUCAACGGAUAGAACACGGACGUCCUAAGUCUGGGGUGGGGGUUCGAUUCCCUCCAGGGGCA